rnacentral:sRNA from 1 species
UCUUUUUCUUGAUUUCUUUGCAGAGCCUGGCUUUAGAGUAACACUUUGCCAUUCACUAGCUGUGUGACCUUGGGCAAAUUCUUCAACCUCUCUGAGUCUUGGUGUUUCUUCUGUAAAAUAAGGGUUGUAAAAUAAUGGACCGUUUGCCUGGUUCUUGUGAAACCAAGAGAUUAUAUGCCAGGUGCUGAGUACUGUGCUAGGGACAUGUUGGGUGCUUGAUAAGGGAUGGGGGUUAUUCUGAGUGUCAGCGGUGGGACUGUUUUAUCCUGCCAUCUCCCCUUUCACCCACAGGAAUGAGCAGCCCAGUGGGUAAAGGUUGGCCAGAACUAUAUUUGACUCAACUACAGUUGAGUGAAUGAUCUUUGCUCGCUUUUCUUCCUCCCACACUUAGGUUGGGGAAACUGAGGCCACCCUGAAGUUCCCGCCUACACCUCAUGACUUUCUCAGAUCCCUGGAGGGUGGCUUAGGAAAUGUCUUUGGAGAUUUGGGAACACACUGGAUACAUCAGUUGGUGAGCCAGGGAAAUUAGCAGGAACGAGCUCAUUUCGAUAGCAAUGAGCUGAGUCUCCCUCCAGCUGCCAGACAUUUACGAGGCUGGCUGGGUGCCGGCGGCCGGAGGCCUCCAAUGGCCCUCAUCCCUCUGCCUUCCGGCUGGAAAUAAUUCGUGUUUAAAAAAUAACAAUAAUAAAAAAAAAAAUCUCCAUCUU